GGCAGUGGCCUUCUGCCUACUAUAGUAUUUUUCUUCACACAUAGUCGUCAACCUGUAUCUUUUGUUCUUCUAUGCUCUUGUAUGUUUAUGUAAAUUGUUCUAUCCCCCUCCUCUUAUUGGAAAGUCCAGUGAAGCCAGGGUUGCCAACUGUCUCGUACUAGCCGGGAUGUCCCUUAUAUUGGGCUAAAUUGGUUUGUGUCGUACGGGAUCGCCCUUGUCCAGUAUAUUCCUCAAAUCACAGUAAUAGCGUAAACGCGCCAAUUUCUGCAAAGUAAUUUCUGUUGUUCAGUCGGUUUGGCAUAUCAAGGAAAUAUGGAUAAACCUGCAAAAAAGAAAAGACUGCAGCUACAGCAAACAAUGGGAAGCAAAAAAGACGUGGGUUAAGGCUGUCAGUGGUGACUCGACGACAGCGUUCUGUACUUUAUUCCGUCUGGGAUUCUCAAUUGGCCUUGGAGAGGAGAGUGACCUAACUCAGCAUGCAUCCACAGAAAUGCAGAAUGCCACGCUAGCUAAAGGUGCUAGCAAUAUCGCCGCAUUCUUCGUGGCGUCUACUGCGGAAAAUGAUUUGCCUCCUACGGAAGAUGAGCCCGUGUGUUUCUCAGUUGCCAGUGAUGCCUCAAACAAGGGAAAUAUAUACAUGUUUCCAGUGUGCAUGAGAUAUUUCUCUGUGUCUGAUGGAGUGCAGUGCAAGUUACUUUACUUUUAUGAAGACUGAUUAAACUGCAAAUGGCAUACAUCAAGCUCUGAUGAACUGCCUGGAAAAUCAUGACCUGGAUAUUAGACACAUCACAGCCUAUACAGCAGAUAAUGCCAAUGUCAACUUUGGAAAACACCACUCCGUUUGCCAGUUAUUGAGCAGUGACAACAAUCGCAUUCUGAAAGCUAAUUGCCCAGCUCACAUAACUCAUAAUGCAUUUUGCCUUUCCAAUUGAAUAAGACUAUGAAUAUACACUGUAUAUUCAUUCCCAUAACACCAUACCCACACCGACGUGUCAUCGUGCACUGGCACGUCACCUUUUGUCCCUUAUUUGGUAGUGAGUAAGUUGGCAACCCUAAGUGAAGCUGAUCAAUGCCUAUGGGGAAACUGAUGACAAAAGGAGGUGAACCUGCUCAAGUUCAUGCCCAGACACAGAUUGAGCCAAUGAUUGAGCACCUGGACCUGGUCCACCACAUGCUAGUCUAUGGCUGCCCGUUGUCUUUGAACCAGACCUACGUGCAGAAAUGCUUCACGGGUGGACCAGCGGAUGAAUGCUUCAGAGUGGUGUUUGCCUGGGUUGUGGGAUGAGGGGCUUUCGAUCUUCCAGAAAUUUGCUGGCAUCCCUAUUAGAGGACAGGAUUAUGAUUUCUACAGGCUGGACAUUUACUACAGCAACCCAGCCCAACAACCAAUUUCACUAGCUACUAGCUG